AAACACCGGUUCACGUACGUCACCGAAGUUAAGCAAAUUUGAGCCUGGUCAGUACCUAGAUGGGUGAACACUUGGGAAUACCAUAUGCUGUUA
rnacentral:rRNA from 1 species